GAUGAAGAACGCAGCGAAAUGCGAUAAGUAAUGUGAAUUGCAGAAUUCAGUGAAUCAUCGAAUCUUUGAACGCACCUUGCGCCUUUUGGUAUUCCGAAAGGCACACCUGUUUGAGCGUCAUGAAUUCCUCAAUCUCCAUCUUUUCUUCGGAUUGAUGGGUGACUUGGAUGUUGAGCCCUGCUGGUAUGCUAUAUCAGCUGGCUUUAAACUUAUUAGCCGGCUCUGUACUGGAUCGGUUUGACUCGACGUGAUAAUAUUAUCGUUGAGGAUGCAUGUCUCAUGCAGCCGGAAAGUAUCAAAGCAGCUUCUAGCUUGCCUUUAGUGCACUUUUACAUUUUAGACCUCAGAUCAGGUGGGACUACCCGCUGAACUUAAGCAUAUCAAUAAGCGGAGGA
rnacentral:misc_RNA from 1 species